rnacentral:misc_RNA from 1 species
GAAAAUGCGAUAUGCAAUGUGAAUUGCAGAACCACGAAUCAUCAGAUCUUUGAACGCAUCUGGCGCCGAUAAAAUCGGCAUACUUGUUUCAGUGUGCUUAAACAACUAAAACCUAAAUGUAGGAGAAAUUCUCCUAUGAAAUAAUUUGUAGCUGUCACAUUCAUUUGUGAGCUUCAAUAAGACUUAAUGUCACCUGAAAUCAAGUAAGAUGACCCGCUGGACUUAA